rnacentral:rRNA from 1 species
AGUGAACGCUGGCGGUAGGCCUAACACAUGCAAGUCGAACGGCAGCACAGUAAGAGCUUGCUCUUACGGGUGGCGAGUGGCGGACGGGUGAGGAAUACAUCGGAAUCUACUUUUUCGUGGGGGAUAACGUAGGGAAACUUACGCUAAUACCGCAUACGACCUACGGGUGAAAGCAGGGGAUCUUCGGACCUUGCGCGAUUGAAUGAGCCGAUGUCGGAUUAGCUAGUUGGCGGGGUAAAGGCCCACCAAGGCGACGAUCCGUAGCUGGUCUGAGAGGAUGAUCAGCCACACUGGAACGGAGACAAGGUCCAGACUCCUACGGGAGGCAGCAGUGGGGAAUAUUGGACAAUGGGCGCAAGCCUGAUCCAGCCAUACCGCGUGGGUGAAGAAGGCCUUCGGGUUGUAAAGCCCUUUUGUUGGGAAAGAAAAGCAGCAGGUUAAUACCCCGCUGUUCUGACGGUACCCAAAGAAUAAGCACCGGCUAACUUCGUG